ensembl:lncRNA
CACAGGCAAAUUGUUUGCACCUGUGCUCCCCAGGUGACCAGAAGGGGUGGACUAAGAGUGGAGCCCCCCUGUGCUCAUAUAAAGGCCAGACACUGAAGGGAGAGCAACUCUUGGAUCUGGGUUGCUUGCUGAGGAGUGCUGCACAGUCAGGAGCCUCUUCACCAGCUGGAGAUGUGAGAUAGAUCCCUGGUUGACUCUACUCGCACCCUGCCUGCUUGGACUUAUGCUGGUUGUCAAAAUGAAAAAGCCUGGGGAAACCAGUGAAUUAUGAACGUGAGAGGCAGCUCCUCCAGACUUCUCUGCAAAGAAAGAGUAGAAUUCUGCAUUUUGCCAGAUCCUGCUGGGAAACAGCUGUGUUUAUACUUUGCACAUCUGUCAGAGCAGGCUGCUGAGAUCUCCAGAUCUGAGGACUGUCCCAGCUGAUUUAGCUCCUGGACACCUUUAGCUUCUGUCAUGGAUUCCUGCUUAUGAAUAGAUAAAACAGUGUACUGAAAGCUGCUGGGCAAAACUGUUGUGCUGAAUCCUUGGCAAGUUUCAGAAAGACAAACGCGAUGUUGUCAGACCAUCACCCAGUACAGUUGCAGUCACUCAACAGGCCAAAAGCAAGAUCCUGAUCUUGGGCAUCUCAGGAGCUGGACAUGAUGGCCCUGGGGAGUUCCUUCCAUCUCAGGAUAAUCUGAUUGCUGAACUGCUACUUACAGCUUUUCACAGCCUUCCUACUUGUUCUUGUUCAGUGCGUCUGUUUGAAAGUGUCUUGAAGAUGAAGUUAUUUCCUGGAGGAAUUCUGAAGGCAACAAGAAGCAUUUUCUCAAGGAGGGAAAAAAAAAAAACCAAACCCUGGAGUGACUUGUGCCUAAAUCCUGGAGCAGAACAGAGUGGCAGCCAGGGCUGCUUACCAGGACAGCAUUUUUGCCUUUUUGUCUCUCUGGGGAUUCUCAAGUAGGAAAGAAAACUGUGGUGUUACUGCUGGGAGGAUUUUUCCUGAUCCUGAGGGAAUCCAUUCUGGAAGCUUGAUCCAAAUGACAGCUGCCUCCAAUUACCACUCUACACAUUGCUGUGGUUAUUUGGUUACAAUCAAGACUGGAGGCUUGAUGACAGCUAGAAGUACCAGCAAGGAAACCUCAGAUGGUUCAGGCUACAGCAGCAUGGGUGCAGGACAACCUGGAUGAAAGUCAGCAGAACAUCUACAGGGCUAAUUAGGACCAUGACCUUGAAAAGGCAUUUUCCAGUACUGUUCACUUAGGUUGAAGCUAGAGACAGAGGAAGGUAUGCACUUCCCAUUAUGAGUGCUACUCCUAAGUUUUCCAACAGGUGCCAAGUAUGGUGGCUUUGAAAUGUAUUUUGGAGAGCUGACAAAGUGGUUAAAGCAGAUAAUUCAUAACAGGCUGUACUAAGACCAAAAAAACCCCACCAACUGGAGUGGUCAUUAAUUUGUGAGGUGAGCAGGCAGCACUCACCAAGCAAGUGGUGCACUGCCUGUUUCCCAGCCUGCCUCCAAACAUCUGCGCGCCUCAGAAGCAAGUGUAAUGUUAUUCUCCCAAGGUGACCCCCUGCUCUGCACUGCAGGAGAAUGAUGGUGAUGUUACAGGCUGGAAUGGAGUAGCAGAAGAUGAUUCAAGCAAGGCUCAUCUUUCCCCCAACUUCUGAAAUAGCCAUGGGAGCCCUUCAUGGCAAGCUGCCCAUGGCAGGAACCAGUCAGAACCUGCUUCUCCCUGAUGGAAGCCAUCAAGGAAGAGAUGAACAGGAGACUUUGUAAAUGUCUUUAUAACAUGGAAAGCUUUGGAUUUAUGGUGAUAAAUAAUGUUUUCCGCAGUAUGCAUCAACCUGAUUAAUUUCUUUCUAAAUUUAUAGCUUGUGUGUCCUUUAAUCUAUCUUGUGCCAUAGCAACAAUAACAAGCUGAUUGCUGUACCAUUUCAAUCAGCAUCAGUGGCAGUGAGCAGAUGUAUCACUGCCUCAACAAUAGCAUAGGUUUCGUUUCUGAAAAACAUUACUUAGGGCUUUUACUCCAGUUGCAGACGUUAUCUUUUUGUUUUCUGAACUUCUGGUGAAGGAGAACUAACAGUGCUAUAUAAUGCUUUGUGUUUAAUGGAUCUUGUGGUAAGAAGGAUUGAAAAGCAAUACAAGCAGAAAG